AUUGAACGCUGGCGGCAGGCCUAACACAUGCAAGUCGAGCGGAUGAAGGGAGCUUGCUCCUGGAUUCAGCGGCGGACGGGUGAGUAAUGCCUAGGAAUCUGCCUGGUAGUGGGGGAUAACGUCCGGAAACGGGCGCUAAUACCGCAUACGUCCUGAGGGAGAAAGUGGGGGAUCUUCGGACCUCACGCUAUCAGAUGAGCCUAGGUCGGAUUAGCUAGUUGGUGGGGUAAAGGCCUACCAAGGCGACGAUCCGUAACUGGUCUGAGAGGAUGAUCAGUCACACUGGAACUGAGACACGGUCCAAACUCCUACGGGAGGCAGCGGUGGGGAAUAUUGGACAAUGGGCGAAAGCCUGAUCCAGCCAUGCCGCGUGUGUGAAGAAGGUCUUCGGAUUGUAAAGCACUUUAAGUUGGGAGGAAGGGCAGUAAGUUAAUACCUUGCUGUUUUGACGUUACCAACAGAAUAAGCACCGGCUAACUUCGU
rnacentral:rRNA from 1 species